UUGAAAUGACACAUCAACAAAGGGGAGAUAAACAAUUACCAAUGUUGUCAGAUCCAUAAAUCCAGAUUCAUCCCAGAGCCUUUGCCGGCUUCUUUACUCCAUCUGAUUGUGAAGACGAGCUCACCAGAAGCGAAUGAGAUCGCCACCCAACAACAACAGCCAAGAUCGGUGAUUGUUAGGAAAUAUGUGAUUUGUUAGGGAUCAAGAGGACGCAUGAUUUAACAUGAAAAAACUCUUCUAAGGUUGAGAGGAAAAACCACGGGAGAUAAAUUCACUAAUAUCGUACAGAGUUACAGCCCUCAUGGAGCUCCUCUCAAAAAACUGGAGUUUUGACAACAGCGAGACGCUCAGAUGCCAUGCCCCUCAACAUCUAGUCUGACCCCCAGUGAUAUAUAUUGAAAAUGGACGGCUUAGCCGUGUUCAUUUUAUAUAUGAACACCAUGGUAUUUCGUGAUGCUCCAGACCCGAUGAUACAGGCGUCCCAGGAAGCAGACACCAGUUUUUGAAAUCUGAAGAUUUUGUUUGAAUUAUUUGAAUAUGAACAAAGAGGUAUGUGCCAAACGGUUCAUAUUGAAAUGGACUGACAAAUUAUGAAGAUCA